rnacentral:lncRNA from 1 species
UUUUUUUUUUUUUUAGUCGUCAAACAUGGCGUGGGCACGCCAAGAUUAGAGAGCAUCCACUGCCUUCGAGGGUCACCUUUCGCACUUUAACGCGUGCCCUCCUCGCGUGGGCACGCCAAGAUUCUACUUUCUGCCGGCGUCGCGAGAUGUUGAGAAUUUACCAACACGGCGCGGGCACGCCAUGUUUUACAAACAUCCUCUGCCCAUGGGACUUGGACUUAGACGCUUAACGCGUGCCCUCCUCGCGUGGGCACGCCAAGAUUACCUAUCCUGAUCAAAGUUAGAAAACAUCAAGAGUGACUAGUACCCACGUGAGAAACGACCUAAUUAAAUAAUUAAGCACUAAAACAACAAAAUUAACAAUUGGGGUGCCUCCCAAAAGCGCCUUUCUUUAACGUUUUUGGCUAGACGUUGUCCAAAACUUUGCUUAAACUAAGCAAAUCGAGUCCUCUAAGUGCAUCAUCUCCACCCGCUCAAUUGGAACACCUUCAUAAUAUGGCUUUAGACGGUGACCAUUCACUACAAAUUUCUUCUCAGUUUUCAAACUUUGGAUCUCGAUUGCACCAUAAUGAAAGACAUUAGUCACAACAAAAUGGCCAAUCCAACGAGAGCGUAAUUUACCUGGAAAUAAUUUCAAUUUGGAGUGGUACAGUAGAACUUUUUGCCCACACUCGAAUGUCUUCCUUGAGAUCUGUUGGUCAUGAAAAAUCUUAUUCCUCUCCUUAUAGAUUACCGCAUUCUCAUAGGCUUCAUUGCGAAUCUCUUCCAACUCCUGUAACUGUAACUUUCUUUGGAUUCCGCCCUCCUCAAUAUCCAUAUUGCAUUGUUUUACCGCCCAAAAUGCUCUAUGCUCGAAUUCCACUGGAAGAUGGCAAGGCUUACCAAAUACCAACCUAUAGGGAGACAUCCCUAUAGGUGUCUUGUAAGCGGUCCUGUAUGCCCACAAAGCAUCUUCAAACCUUGAACUCCAGUCCUUCCUAUCAGGGCGAACCAUCUUUUCCAAAAUAGACUUUAUUUCCCUAUUCGAGACUUCAGCCUGGCCAUUGGUCUGUGGAUGGUAGGAAGUGGAAACUUUAUGAAGUACACCAUAUCUCCUGAACAAAGCAGCAAUUGUCAUGUUGCAAAAAUGCGUCCCCCUAUCACUCACAACUGCCCGUGGCAUUCCAAAUCGCACAAAAAUGUUAGAUUUUAUGAAAUCUGCAACCACCUUAGAAUCAUUAGUGCGGGUGGCUUUUGCUUCCACCCACUUCGAGACAUAAUCCACUGCUAGUAAAAUGUAUAAAAAUACACAAGAAUUUGGGAAGGGACCCAUGAAAUCUAUACCCCAAGUAUCAAAAAUUUCAAUGAAAAGCAUGGGCACCUGUGGCAGUUGAUCCCUUCGGGAUAAAUUGCCUAUCCUCUGACAUUUAUCACACGUCUUACAAAACACAUAGGCAUCCUUAAACAAUGAAGGCCAAUAAAAUCCACUUUCUAAAAUCUUAUGAGCAGUUCUCCUGGGUCCAAAAUGACCUCCACAGGCAAAAGUAUGACAAAAAGCUAAAAUCGAUUGAAAUUCCAUUUCACUUACACAUCUCCUCAUCACCUGAUCCGCACACCUCUUCCACAGGUACGGGUCAUCCCAGAUAAAAUACUUGGCGUCGCUCUUCAAUUUAUCCCUCUUCGAUUUUGGCCAACCUGCAGGAAAAUUACCGGUUACCAAAUAAUUGACCAGAUCAGCAUACCAAGGCAAUUGAGAAUUUAAAGAAAAUAAAUGCUCUUCAGGGAAUGCAUCCUUCAAUGGUUCACUAUCCUCUCCAACGGGGAUACGACUCAAAUGGUCGGCUACUAAAUUCUCUGACCCUCUUUUAUCCCUUAUCUCCAGGUCAAAUUCCUGUAGGAGCAAUAUCCACCGUAUGAGCCUCGGUUUCGCAUCUUUCUUGGUCAUCAGGUAUCUCAAUGCUGCAUGAUCAGAAAAUACAAUCACUUUAGCACCUAACAAAUAUGACCUGAAUUUUUCUAAAGCAAAAAUAACUGCAAGAAGCUCCUUCUCAGUGGUGGAGUAAUUCAACUGGGCUCCAUUCAGGGCGCGGGAUGCAUAAUAGAUGACGUGAGCUGCCUUUCCUACUCGCUGCCCCAAUACAGCCCCUACAACAUGGUCACUAGCAUCGCACAUGAUCUCAAAUGGUAAAUUCCAGUUAGGGGGCUGGAUGAUUGGAGGUGAGGUCAACAAUUCCUUCAACUUGUCGAAGGCUCUCUCACACUUGUCAUCAAACUCGAAAGCUACAUCCUUUUGUAGAAGUUGGAACAACGGGGCUCCAAUUUUUGAAAAAUCCUUGAUGAACCUUCGGUAAAAACUUGCAUGUCCAAGAAAAGAACGCACCUCCCGCACAUUUGCGGGGUAAGGUAAUGCCGAUAUAAUGUCUAUUUUAGCCUUGUCAACGUCGAUGCCCUUAGACGAUACAACAUGACCUAAGACUAUCCCGUGGUCAACCAUAAAAUGACAUUUUUCCCAAUUAAGCACAAGAUUAGUCUCUAUACACCUUAUCAGGAUCAAUUUCAGGUUAUCUAGACAUGUAUCAAAUCUAUCACCAUACACACUGAAAUCAUCCAUAAAAACUUUAAUAAUUUUCUCCACAUAUUCUGAAAAAAUACUUACCAUACACCUCUGGAACGUUGCAGGCGCAUUGCACAACCCAAAUGGCAUUCGUCUAUAGGCAAAGGUCCCGAACGGGCACGUGAAGGUUGUCUUCUCUUGAUCCUCUGGGGCAAUUGCUAUCUGAAAGUAUCCUGAAAAUCCAUCCAAAAAACAAUAGUAAGCCCUACAAGACAAACGUUCAACCAUUUGGUCAAUGAAAGGGAGAGGGAAAUGGUCCUUUUUGGUGACGGUGUUUAGCCUACGGUAGUCUAUACAUUGCCUCCAUCCAGUGGGCUUGCGCACUGGCACGAGUUCACCCGUUUGGUUAGCUUCUACCGCCACUCCUGCCUUCUUUGGGACUACCUGGACCGGGUUCACCCACGGGCUGUCUGAUAUUGCAAAAAUGAUCCCCACAUCUAGCAAUUUUAAAAUCUCUUUCUUUACAACUUCCAUCAUGAGGGGGUUGAGCCUCCUCUGAGCCUGCCGAACAGGUUUAGCAUUCUCUUCCAGUCUAAUCCGGUGCAUACAGACGGCCGGGCUGAUCCCCUUAAUGUCUGCGAUUGUCCAACCUAUCGCCUCUUUAUGCUCUUUAAGGACCCGAAUCAGUUUCUCCUCUUGGGUUUUUGACAAUGCUGACGAAAUAAUCAUCGGGAGUGUCUCAUUGUCACCCAAAUACGCAUACUUCAGGUGCUCUGGUAGGGGUUUCAAUUCUAAAACAGGUGCCUGUACCACAGAUGGCAAUACCCUCUGGUGAGGUUCGGGAAUAAAAAUAGGCAAGACUUCAUACCUUUUUGUGGUGGUCGGCAAUGAGUGUAAUGCACCUACUGUGCAUUUUAGAUUCUCGCUCCACUCCACCUCAGGAGUUGUCUCCAACUCGAGGUGCUUGGUUAAAGCCACCUCCAACUCAUCCCUGCCAACAGUUUCAAACACUUCCUGCACUACAGGGUCAAUAGUAUUCACAGAGAAAACUGAGCUAAAGUUGGAGUUUGAGGGAUAUUUCAUGGUAUCGAAGAUAUUAAAAUACACAAUUUCCCCAUCAAACUCCAUGGAUAAGGUACCCUUAUUAACAUCAAUUUUUGUUUGUACUGUACUCAUAAAGGGUCUACCUAACAACAAAGGUGAGGGAUCGGGGGAGUGAUCAUCAUCCAUAUCAAGUACAUAAAAAUCAGCUGGAAACACUAAAUCAUUAACUUUCACCAACACAUCUUCAACCAACCCAUCAGGAUAUGCAUUAGUUCGGUCAGCUAAUUGAAUGAUUAUUCCAGUUUCUUUUAAUGGACCUAAUUUCAGAGAAGCAUAGAUAGAUUUAGGCAUGACAUUAAUUGAUGCUCCCAAAUCCAACAUGGCCCUUCUAAUCACAGUAUUACCUAUCCUACAGGGGAUAGUAAACAUACCUGGGUCCCCGCACUUGGGUGGAAGCUUCCUCUGCAGGACCGCUGACACAUUCUCCCCAACAAUGAUCCUUUCAUCUCCCCUCAAUCGCCUUCGGUUGACACACAAGUCCCUUAGGAACUUGGCAUAUUUUGGUACUUGUUUGAUGGCGUCUAAGAGGGAAAUAUUUAUCUCUACCUUGCGAAACACCUCCAAAAUCUCCUUCUCCUUAUCCUGCUUCUUCGAUUUUUCCAACCUGCUAGGGAAAGGAGGUGGUUUAGUUUUAACAGUAAUUAUUGGGUCUGGAAGUACCUUUGGAUCUCCACCAUUGCUGUCCUCCCUCUCAAGCUCAUUUUCAAUCUUUUCCUCGUCCUUAUCCUUAGGGAUCACAAGUUCAGGUCCCUGAAUUUCCUUCCCGCUCCUUAGGGUCAUUGCGCUCACGUUCUUCGGAUUUAAUUCAGGCUGAGACGGCAAUUUACCUUGGUUCUGGGAAUCCAAACGGUUAAUUGUUGUGACCCUUUGACUUAUCUGAUUCCUUAUGUCCUGCAUUUCGGAGUCCGUCCUUUGCUGAUUUUGCAUAAUGGUUGCCUCUGUCCUUUGCUGAUUUUGCGUCAUGGUUGCCAUCAUUUGUUUCAUCAUCUCUUCUAAAGAUGGGCCAGAGCUCUGGGGCGGAGGUGGUCGAGGUUGGUAUUGUUGCUGGUACCCUGGUUGCUUAUUUGGCACGAAGUUAGACUGCCUGUUCGGUGCAAAGUUGGGUUGCCUAUUUCCUCCAUAACUGAGGUUGGGAUGAUCUCUCCACCCGGGGUUGUAGGUACUUGAGUAAGGGUUGUACUGCUUUCUUGGCGCGGGCGCGUGGCCAGUCAUGUUCACCUGUUCUGCAGUUUCUUCCUGAAGCAUUGGGCACAUGUCUGCAGAGUGACCCAUACCAGUGCAAAUCCCGCACACCCUGGCCUGAGAUGCAUUCCCUACAGCCAGUUGCCUAACAAACGAGGUCAACUCAGUUAGCUGCUGCUGCAUAGAGGAUAUCUCUAUCUCAUUCACUUUACGUAUUGGGACGUCCUCUCUCGAACUGAAUUGUUGUGAAUUCUCUGCCAUCCCCUCUAUUAACUCCCGUGCUUCCUGAGGGGUUUUGUUCACCAGUGCCCCUCCACUUGCAGCAUCAAUUAUGCUCCUGUCUCUGAAAAGGAGCCCCUCAUAAAAAUACUGUAUGAGCAACUGCUCACUUAUUUGGUGUUGGGGGCACAUUCUGCACAACUUCUUGAACCAUUCCCAAUACUCAUAGAGUGACUCCCCUGGGUGCUGCUUGAUCCCGCAAAUUUCUUUCCUUAGACUCGCAGCCCUGGAUGCAGGAAAAUAUUUAUCUAAAAAUUUUUUCUUCAAUUGGUCCCACGUGGUGAUGCUACCUGGUGGUAGGUAGUAUAACCAGUCCUUUGCAGAGUCCUUCAAGGAAAAGGGAAAUGCCCUCAUUUUUAUCUGCUUUUCUAUAAUGCCCGGGGGCUUCAUACUAUUGCACACGACAUCAAAUUCCUGCAGAUGCUUAUACGGCUCCUCACCUGGUAAACCAUGAAAAAAGGGUAAAAGAGAAAUCAGACCAGAUUUUAACUCGAAUGAAGUGUUUUCACUCAAACUCGGGAAAGUAAUGCACAAAGGCUACUGAUUUAAAUUAGGGGCAGCCAACUCCCUUAAUGUUCGUGCAUUAGCCAUGGGGAUUUCUUCUUGCUCCGAGUUACUCGAAGUGUCACCAAAUGAAUCUGUUGGUUCAACUCCUGACUCAGGUCUCUGAGAUAUAGCACUGGAGUGCUCCUCUCUGAGCUGUCUGGUUUCCUUUCUCGUUCUACGCGCGGUCUUCUCUAUUUCAGGGUCAAAAAUCAAAUCACCUGUACGAGAAGACCGAGGCAUACACUAGAAAAAUACCAGAAAAUUAGAACAAAAAUGAAUUUAAAAAGAAACAAAUAAUAACGCCAGUCCCCGGCAACGACGCCAAAAAUUGACAGGUGCCGAACCUGUACAAUAAUAAAUACCUGCUCAAGCAAAAUAUAACUUCUGUAGACAGUGAUAAGCAGGGUCGAAUCCACAGGGACUAGUGAUAUUUGUUUCUUUUAAAAUUCCAAUUGGAAUAAGGGGGAUUUUAUCGGAGUUAAACUAAAAUCAAUUAAAUAAUUCACUGGAACAAAUAAUUAACUAGUACGAAUAUAAAAAGGAAUUAAAUCAAGAAUAUAUAAAUUCUAGCCAAGGAUACAACUACUCAGGCACAGUCCAAUUAUCCGAUCAUUGAUGCAAGGGAGGUUCACUUAAUGUAUUAAUAGGCUAGUUAUAGUCGUUGACGAAGUCUGACGACCAAUUUUUCCUUAAUUUAUUGAUAACCAAGGUACGACCGUUGAUUACCCCUAAUCAGAAAAUACUCCUAGGUACGACCAUAAGAAUUAAUUUUCCAAUUGCAUUAACAACUAGAAAAACCUAACCCUAAUCAAUAACACGCUACGAGUGUUAUUUAAACUAGAUUGCAUGCUCCCCUGAUGUGUAAACACACCAGUUGCCACUCAUAUUAAUCAAUCAAACAAUUACGGAUCUAAUUGACUAAAUUGGCACGAGAUUAAUAAAUCACAUUGAACAUCGGGCCCCUGACAUCCAAUUAAUAAGUAAAUCCCACGAGAACUCAAGCUGACAGCAUGCAAAUAUUAAUAAAUUGAGGAACACGUGAAAACUAAUUAGAUCUCACAGAACUUCGGGACUGCACCGUCGAGUUGACCCUUCACUAGAUUGAAGACUUAGCCACGCCGCAUAAUUAAAUCACCACACGAAUUAAAUGAUUGCAACGGCAUUGCCUUUUUACUAGAAAGCAAGGAAUAAAAGAUGUUUUCCCGUUGGGGAAUAUUGUCAAACACCUGGCGUGUGUCAGAGGCCAGUCAGAGAGAAAAGAAAGAAAACUAAAAACUGAACUAAAAGCUGUAACUAAAAGCCGUCCCCUUCUUCUGUAUGUUGUCUCCUUUUAAAGAACCAAAAGAGAGAUGACUAAAAGCUAUCUAAGUGGUCCCCACACAUGUGGACAAAGUCUCCAAAUUGUUUAUUGUUCCAAGUCUCUCUACGUUGCUUUCUUUGAGGAGCCCCAAAUGACUAAAUAUCUUUCACUAGCUUUGUGGUCCCCCACCAAUUCAAGGGCCCAAGGGUUGAAGCCCUUAGAAGUCUUCAUUUUCUCUAUAAAGUCCCUCCUUUUUGGUAGUUUUCUGUUUCAUUCCUGAAAUUAACUCCAGAUACCAAAUAGAAGUAGAUAUCACCAAUUAACACAAUAAAUAGCAGGGAUAAAAGGGGAAAUUAAUAAUAAAAUUACUAUCAAAUACUGCCCUAUCAGACCUCCCCUAAGGUUACUAAUCUUUUGCAAAUUCAGUCCAAACGAUUAAAAUAUUGUUUUAGGGAGUGAAAUUAGAAUUUUUUACCAAAUUUGUCCUUUGUACUACAUGUCCAACGAAUGACAAAAUACUACAAAUCAAUUAACAAUUAAUAAACUUUAAGGAGUAUAGUUUAUAGGCAAAUACGCAUUACCUAUUUAAAGUAUCGGCUCUUUAUGGGUAUUUUACUUUUAAACAUUUAAUUUAAUACAAAUAUUUACGCUCAAAUACAUAUUUGUAUUUACUUUCAAAUAUUUAAUUUUUGUUAAUAUAAAAACUACCAAUCUCUCUUCCGUAAAAAUAUUAAUAUAACACUUUUUCAAUUUUAGUUACAAACAUUUAUGUAUUUAAUAUAAAUUAUAUGAUUCACAAUAAAAUGCCCAUAAAGAGCCAAUACUUUACUCAUUUAAUGGAUGAAAGCCAUAAAGAAUUAAUACUUUAUGGGUCAUUUCUUUUUUUAAAAAAAUAUUUAAUUUAUAUUAAAUAAAUAACCUACCGAUUUCAUUUUUGCACAAAUAUUACUGUAACACUUUUUGAAUUUUAUUUACAAACAUUGAUAUAUUUAUCAUAAAUUAAAUGUUUGAAAGUAAAAUAUCCAUAAAAAGUCGAUACUUUAAAUGAGUAAUGCGUGUUUGCCCAUAAAGAGCCGGUAACUAUUUAAAGUACCGGUUUUUUACGAGUAUUUUACUUUCAAACAUUUAAUUUAAUACAAAUAUUUACGCUCAAAUACACAUUUGCAUUUACUUUCAAAUAUUUAAUUUUUGUUAAAUACAAAACCCACCAACCUCUCUUCCGUAAAAAUAUUAAUAUAACACUUUUUCAAUUUUAGUUACAAACAUUUAUGUAUUUAACAUAAACUAAAUGAUUCAGAAUAAAAUGCACAUAAAGAGCGAAUACUUUACUCAUGUAAUGGAUUAAAACCAUAAAAAAUUAAUACUUUAUGGGCCAUUUCUUUUUUUAAAAAAAAUAUUUAAUUUAUAUUAAAUAAAUAACCUACAGAUUUCCUUUUUGCAAGAAUAUUACUGUAACACUUUUUGAAUUUUACUUACAAAUAUUGAUAUAUUUAUCAUAAAUUAAAUGUUUGAAAGUAAAAUACCCGUAAAGAGUCGGUACUUUAAAUGAGUAAUGCGUGUUUGCCCAUAAAUUAUACUCCUUAAAGUUUAUUAAUUGUUAAUUGAUUUAUAAUACUUUGUCAGUCAUUGGAUAUGUAGCACAAAGGGCAAAUCUGGUACAAAAUUCUAAUUUCACUCCCUAAAAUAAUAUUUUAAUCAUUUGGACUAAAUUUGCAAAGGAUUAGUAACCUCAGGGGAGGUCAGUGUAAUUUUUCAAACCACAGAGGAGGUCAGUGCAAAUGUCAGAUACCUCAGGGGAGGUUUCUGCAAUUAUCCCUUUUCAUAAUUACAAUUCAACUGAUAAGAUUUUUUUCCGAUCUCUGUCGUAACAUCCGCAAUCAAUCUGACAAUUUUCGAACCAAUCUUAUGGUCCAAUCCUCACAAACUAGACACUUCAUUACCAAUCUUGUGGUCUAACUGGAUCAACUAAUUUCUUCGCAGUUGUUAGGCUUGGAUUUGAACCCAACGGUUGGUGGGAUAAAAUCCAAACCCAACAGCAGCAAUUUUUAUACUCUAAUUUUGAUAGCCAAAAACACCCACAAUUAACCCUUGUAAUCGGGUCAAGUCGUCAAUGUGUAUAGGCACCCCAAGAUCAAUUUCUUGAACCCAAAAUUCUGAUACCAAAUGUUGAUUGACAAAUUAAUUGUGAGGUGGACAAAUAAAGUGAUGGACUUGGUUGAAAUCAAUUGUGAGGUGGAUAAAUUAAUUGAAGGUUGUCGUACUACUAAAGUUGGUGCAGCUAUUAGUGUUGAAAAACUAAAGGAAAAAGUAUGGUGAUGUUGAAAACCUCAGAGGUAAAAAUUAUGAUUUUCUAGUUUUGCAAGAUUGUAUUAGUGACAUGAGUGAACUGAAUUAUGGAGCAUUGGAUGGAGUAUGGGUGAACAUAUUUGAACUUUUGGAUAGAAGUGAUCAAAACAAUUAAAUUGUUCAACAAGUAUAAGUUUUGUCCACUAGCACGUGUAAAGAUGAAAUUGAAAAUCUAUUGCAAGUUGGUGUUGAAUGUUGUUCAUAUUGCGACUGAAUUUUUCAUGGAGAUUCAAACUCGUGAUGGCAUUAGAGAUGACAAUAUCAAGAGUUUGGUUUAAGGGAGGCAAUAAAGGAAAUUAAACCAAAUUGCAUUUGGUUUCUUAAUUCUUUUUGGCGUCUUGUUUGUUUAGUUUCCAUAUUGGAUUAAGAAAUCUAAAAUCAGUUUCCAAGUAAGUUUCAAUUUACAAUUGUAUUUAUUUUAGGAAAUUUUGGAAUUUAUAAAUACUACCAGUCUAGUAGGUUAUUACUAGAAGAGUUGAGUUAAGUUGUAAGAGUACGUUUGAGAUAAAAUCUCAUAGUUAAGAUUUGUGAGUUGUCGUGAGCGAAAGGCUACGACUUUAUAUUAUUAUUAUUGAGUUUUGGAUUAAUAAAUUAUUGAGUUUUGUUGUGCGUUAAUUGUCCUCCUCUUCCCAUAUAUUUUUAUAUGUGCUAAAAUUGCUUCCGCCGUGAGCGUUUUUUUUUUUUUUGUGCCAACACUCUCUCUCUCUCUCCUCAUCGUUUUACUCUUUCACUUGUCAUUUAGUUUAACUAAUUGAACAUUUAGCCACACAGCAAUGUGAAAAACUGGGAAUCAUUCAAAUGCAGAGAAUUGAAAGACUAGAUUACUUACAGACAGUGGAAGUGAGAAAAGUUGCUGCUUCUCAAUCUUUUGGAGCAUACUAUGUAGAGGUUAACGGGAAGUUGAAAUUCAAACUUGUGAAGAAGAGUGACUUGGAAUUUAAAUAACUAAAAAUGCAGUCUUAUUACAUGCCUCUUGGUUUUACCAGACAAAAGAGACGUAAGGGAAACCUGGGCAAAAUGACAGACUACUUAUCCAAUAUUCUUGGAAAAGAUAAUCAGAUUAGGCAACCUUGAAACACUAGACAACCUUAUAAAAAAUCAUCUUGCAGUCUAAAUAAAAUCAAACAUUGGUUUUCUGGUAGCCUUCAGCAUUAAGGUGAUCUCACAAUCUUUUUUCUAAAUCUCUUCAAACAUACUGCUCAUCAACUUACUCAUUGAUCUCUAUCUGAAAAGGUUGGAGCGCUUGACCCAUUUGUUAGACUUUCACGUCCAGAUUGUUGCGGCUGAUCAUAACUCACCUGCAACAGGAUUUCAGCAAAGUAUUAAACCACAUGAUUGAUUAUCCAAAAAGAUCAGUCUUUAGAAAUAGUUAAAUUAUAAGCCAGCCAUGCAGAGUGUGCCACGGAAAAAAUAGACAGAUAUAAUGGACACAGGAUCUCGUCUGCUUUCAGAUAGGUAGAGAUAUUCAAACAAUUCCAACGUUAUAUUGUCCGGACUCUUUGGAAAUAGUGACAUUUUGUUUGGUUUAUCUAGAAUUCAGCAAUUAUUUGCCCUUUUACUUUGAAAAUUACCUGAGAGGCACAUUUUGGGGUUUCUCUCACUAGGGUUGCUGGACUAGGAAUGAUGCCUGACAUUCGUUCUUCUGCUAGAGUCCUUAACCUAUCAAGUUCAGGUAACACCACAGUACGAAGAUCUGGUCUAUCUUUACGCCUUAGUUCUGUGCAUUUAAGAGCUAACUUGGCAAAAUUCAGGGCCUCCUCUACUGGCCAGUCUGGAACAGCUGGGUCAAGCAUAUCAGCGAAUUUCCCCUUCUCAAUGGCCCUCUGAACAUGGUGAGUCAAACCCAUGGGAGGUUUUGCUGUAAUAAUUUGAAGAAGCAUGACUCCUAAUGAAUAAAUAUCCGAUUUUAUUCCAAGCAUACCAGUUUGCUGGUACUCGGGAUCUAUGUAACAGAAUGUUCCGGCUGUGGAUGUCAUAAGGUAUUGUGUUACAGUAUCAGCUACAGAAGGAGGGACAAGCCUUGCUAAACCAACAUCACCGAUCUUGCUUACAUAGUUUCGAUCAAGCAAAAUGUUGGCUGGUUUUAGAUCCCGGUGAACGAGUGGUUCUGGCUUUGUCUGGUGGAGGAAAAGGAGGCAAGUGCCAAUCUCUGCUGCUAUUCGGAACCUUAAUUGCCAAGGAAGCACUGGGGUCUGUCCUCGCCGGAAGAGACGAUCAUCUAAGCUGCCAUUUGGCAUGUACUCAUACACGAGGCAACCAUACUCUGGGCAUGCUCCUAGUAGGAGAACCAUGUUCGGAUGUCGUAUACAACUAAGAACUUCAACCUAUAUCAACAUAGUACAAAAGAAUAUGAGAAAGACAUCACUAGUGUGUUUCAGUAAAACUAUUUGUUGUAAUUUGAUUCCUUCAGAGGAUGUUAGUGCUUAAUUCUGGCAUUAGGGCCUGAAGAUUUAUCGAUUUCAUGCAUUAAAAUGUACGUACAGAUGCUGCAGAAGGUUGUGCAUCUUUAUCAAAUUUUGCUUGAAUCUGUUAUAUAUUUUCAGCAUGUUCGUAUUAUUUCAUUGGUCAGUAUAUGCAUGUUUCGUCCUUUUAAUUUUUGUUACAUAGCUGUAGUUGGAUGACUGAUGUUCUAAGGGUAGUCAAACAUGCCUAAGUAUAUUUAAGUCCCAUACCUCUUGCUGAAACUGUGCCCUUCCUUGAGAUGCGUCAGGACGUAGUACCUUUAUUGCAACAGGUGUAUGAUCUAGGUUACAUUUGUAGACUGGUCCAUAUCCACCUUCACCAAUUUUUCGAGACUCUGAGAAGUGAUCCGUUGCUGUUUCAAUUUCAUCUAUGGUGUAUCUCCGGUAUCUAACAUCACCAUGUGCUAGCGUAUGCAGUACUCUUUUUCUCUCCUCUUCUUCUCUGAGUGCCUUCAUUUCUGCAUUCUUUCUUUUUUGUGCUUCCAGUUCUGCAAUCCUCUGAGCUGCUUCAGCUGCCUCAAUGGCUACCUUACACUUGGCCUUUUCUUUUUCUGCAAUUGCUAGUGCUGCUUCCUCAGCUAAUCGUGCCUCUUCUAGCUUCUGCUGUUCCUCCAUUUUCCAACGUUGAAGCUCUAAUGCCUAGAGCAAAUAUUUUAAAUUUACUUUGGCCAUUUCCAAUUUGGCUGAUAAAAUUCUUAUAUCUUUGACUUCUUGUGUAUUUCGUGCAACGAAUGGAGAUCUUAUUGCACAAGGAGUUUGAAAAUUUUGAAUUGCAAAAGUGCUCACCUUCUGUUUUGCUAAGAGUGCUUCUUUGCAUGCUGUGCUAUACAUCUCCAUUGUCUGCUUGAGCUCUUGCUUGAGCCUUCUCAUCUCAGCUUCUACAUCCUCCUGUGCGUAAGAUACGCAGCUUAAGUCAUUGUUUAAUAAAUGCUCUAUUUAUCAUCGUUGCUUUGGAAAGGCCUAUGUUGUUAGUGGUGCAUCUUCUAGUAACUUUGAAGGUCCUGAAAACCUUCAUCUAUACCCCUUACCCCAGAUAAGAUUUCUUACCUUCUUUGAAGAAGUAAAAAUUUUCUCUUGGUCAUAUCAAACCACUGAAAAUAAAAAGCAGAAACCACAAGAACGAAGGCAAGGAAAAAAGCAAGUGAAAGAUGUAUGUUUGGAACAUUACCUGAUGUAAAUGUGAAUUAACGUAGAGAAGAAACCUUAGUUCUUAUUCCUGUCUGGAGGGUUUAAAUCUCGUAGUGGAGUGAAUGUUCAAUGGCUUACAAUAUCACACUAUAUCAAUGUUCAGUAAUCGACUACCAUAUAAGAAAUUAGUUGGGAAUAUUUUGUGUUGGAAGUUAGGCAUUGUGUUAAUUACACAAAAUCUCUUUCCUAAAAGGCCUGACUAACAAUCUUUGGUCUUGGUGUCUUGCGAUCUUCAUAUGACCAAUAACACUGAUCGGCCUUUAUAGUAUGAUGAUUACCUGAGUAAUUUCUAUGUCUUAUGCUAUUACCUUGAACUUGUUACACAAAGUGUGAAUUAAGUAGUUAUUGUCCAUUAGUAAAGCAUUUCAAGUUUAAAUCAUGCUUAAAGCUUGAAGUGGUUUUUGUUGUCUGCCAAGUCUUUCACAAACUUGAAUUCUACUCCUGUACUACAUUGUUUGUAAGAUUGGCUCAGAAACUUCAUCUGUAAAUCUCAUUGGGUCACUAAUGCUACUUCUGUAUGGUGGAGAAUAUGCAUGUAACACAAAUAAAUUUCUUUUUGUCCUUUGAAUUUUAUUUUUUUGUUGGAGAUUGAUAAGACAGUAUUCACUACUAACUUGGUUUCGCAAGACUACUUUAUUUUCGGUUGAUGAAUUAACAGUAUUGGGUAUCAAUGCGCAUACCUGACUCUGGCUGGAUGAUGACGACCAUGAUAUGCUGCCAUUUUCGUGUGUUCUGGAUGGAAAUGUACCAGAACCGCUUGUAUCAGGUGUCCUUGGCCCUGAGAAUGAUGAACCAAAAUUCGAUGUAUUCUCUGUUUCAGAGCCAUUUGAAAGACGAGGGGGAAAUGCCAUGUCCUGAAUGUCAGGUAAAGGGAACAAGUGAUCCAUGCUGGACCUGCCCGAACUGAUAAAUGAUAUGUCGCUAUCUGGCAAUGAGAAGUCUCCAGAUGACCUAUUCUGAGUUUUGCCUCUAGUAAAUGGUGACCUGAGCAAGGGUAGUAAGGUACGGUUACUGUAUGUCUUAGCCUUCAUUUGCUGGAAAUCAAUCAAAUGAUUUGUUUAUUCACUUUCAUCGCAUUUCUUUUGCAGGUAUUGGUUGAAAUGUGGGUUCCACACAACUUUUACCCAUGCAGAUUUAAGAAUUCUAAUGCAGGACCAAACAUCUUAAUGAUUUUGAAUGUGAGAUGCCUAAUACCGUCAUUCUGUUUGUUCCUUAUGUAGAAAGUGAAAAGCAGUCAUUUCUUGAUAUAUGCACAACUCACUUGAUUGAGUCCAUAUCUUCAGCCAGAGUUCGUGGGGCAAUCGGUGAUUUAUCAUGAGAAAAACCUGUUCAAGUUGAGUGAUGCAUUUAGUUCCUCUACCUGUACUAAAACCAUAAUUUAGACAUGGCAAAAUUGCAGAACCAGACCUCUUACUCCACUGCCAUGCAUCAGACGUGCAUCAGAAAGGACAGGAUUUGUCGUGCCUUGAUUUUGCCCUUGGCGAGGCGGUGGAUUUGGAACUGGACAGGAGGCAGCCCUUACUGAUGAGAGUUUUCCUUUUGAGAUGGUAUAAACAUUGCAAAAAUCUGGUGCCACCUUGGAAACAGUGGAAGCGACGUCUGUAGUCUUGAAUCUGCUGCGUCCAAAGAUUUGUUAGUAACGAGGUACAAAAAUAGCAUCACACUUAUGCUUUCAUCAGGGGAAAAGGGAAAUAGCAACACUAAUGCUGCUAGUCGAGUAGUUGCUAGAUGAUAAUAUUUCUACUAUCUUCAUAUUGUUUUGAAGAAUGGUUGAUUCAGUUAGACCAUACAAGUAGAGUGAGAUUGAAUUAAUGGAACUUUUUAAUUACUUUUGGUACCAACCCUGAAGUCACCUUCUUUGAACAUUUCUGCAGUGUGUGGUGUAGGCACCAGAUACAAGGUAAGAGUGAACUAUAUGGGUUCUAAUGCUUUCAACUGGCUUUUCUGACAAAUGAAAAGUAUUGCCUUUGCGUGUCUGCAUGCAUGUGCAUUGUGUGAGUGUUUAUGGUUAUAAAAAGCUCAUCAUGGCAUCUAUGGUUCUUGAUAUAGGUUUGAUUCUAGGAAUAGACCUGCAUUUUGAGGCUCUCUAACCAAAAUAGAAGUGAUUGUUAAUAAAAGAAAGGAAGAAGGAUCAAGUAUCUUGCAGAAAGUUACUUCUCUUAAAAGUUUCCAGCAUAGCUGAUCUUAAACAGAAACAGGUGUUCACAUCUGUAUGUAUCUCUGAAUUUAAUUAUUUGGAUAGUAAGAAAGUAGAUAAAUGGGGCAAAGAAGUAAUUUACCGAACAAAUGCACUCUUUGAUGGAGCACUAAGCACCAAAUUCUCAACGAAGUUUGCCCUGACAUAGUCAUAUAUGCCUUUUGCUAUGUCCAAAUCCUCAAUCAUGACUUCAUUAACUCGUAUCUGUUGCAAGAUAACUAGUCAAAUUCUAAGAGCUUGCUACCUAAACAUAAAAAGGAAAUUCAUGUUGAUCAGGUAAAGGCAUCCAAGAGGGGUUUUGGGUUUAAAGAACGGACUGAAAGAUAUCACAUGUUGAAUCAGGGAACUUAGAUGUGGGUUUUUCAUAAUCUUUUUAAUCGAUGAUUCUUGAGAAUGAAUGGUUAACUUUCUCUCUUGGACAAUUUUUGGGUUCAAUUACUAGGUCUUUUCUAAACUUAUGUAGGUAUUCUAUGAUUUACUUCUUUUUUUGCAGUACAUGAUGAAAUCCUAUUCUUUUCUUUCUUUUCACUUCUUGUAGCAAGUCAAGAAAAGAAAUAAGUAACCAGCAUAAUUCAGAACUUCAAAAUAUAUAGCAGAUCUUACAUCCUUGCGAGUGCAGAAGCAGCGGAAGGGAAGGAACAACUCCUUGGAUUGGCCAUCAGCAUCUUUAUAUGAUCUUUGAAUGCUAUCAUUAGCAUCAGCAAGAGCAAUGUGGCUCACCACUGCAACAAUGAUAAAAAUUUUGGAAUUCCUAAUGAGAUUUUCCAAGAUGAAUAUCGAAAAAUCUUACAACAUACAAGCAUGAAACGUAUGCUUGCAUAUUCGUCCAGUAUCUGUAAACCCCCGAGCAGAAACUGUUACCAUGCUGCAGACAUUAUUAAUACAUGCAGAGCAGGUAUCUUUGAGUUUUAAGCAUUGUGUCCAACAGCAUAGUUUGGACUGCAUGAUUAUCAGUCAGAAUUAAAUGUUGAGAAUUGCUUGUUUUCUUUGGAGUAUUGACCAUAAGCUUAACUUUCUCGAGCUAUUUGCCUUAUUCUUACAUUGUUUCUCUGCAGUUUCACAAAUUUGUUUGAAACUGAUACUGUAUUGUACUUUUAUGCAGUUAGGAUUGCAGCCUUACGACAUGAUGCAUUCUCACCAUAUGGACGUGAAAAGCUGGCAUAACAAAACAAUGAUGGACUGAUGGGUAGGUAUUUGUAUAGAGAUUCUAUUUCGAAUAAGUCCAUGCAUUGAGAAUUCAAGCACAUACAGAUACCAGAAUAAUUGUUUCAAAUGUUAUUGUGCAAACAAAAUCAGCAUCAGGGCAUUCAUCAUAGAAAGACUAAUAUGCAUUGACAAUUAUUAGACACAUAAAUCAGGACUUUGAUUGUAAGCGUCUAAUUAAUGCUGAAUUACAAACACCAAUAUGGAACACAAUAUGAAGAGUAGAAGAUAAAAAGAGAGAAUUACAUGAAGCAGAGGAAGGUUGUUUUUGUUUGACAUGAAUCAAUGUAACAUAUUUGCCUUUUCCCACAAGAUUAUCAACAGCCCAUUUCAAAGCAUAUUGGCUUCCUUUGUCUUUAUCUAUGGCCACGCAUACCAUUUCAGCAUUUCCUCUAGGAAUUGGCAUUUUGGUUCUGUAGCUAGGAUCAAUUCGAACACACCCAAACCCUUUGAGUUUUAUAAGAAUUCUUGCUUUUAUGCUUUUGUCAAAUGAGUUUCUAGACUUUCCUCUCCUUGUUUCUUGCAUUACCGAAGGCUAAACCAUUUGAAAAACCUCUUUUUAUAUCUUGGAGAGGCUCCAAGUGAUUUGGAAAUCUUAGACUCCUUUUUGACUCCCAAAGUCUCCUAGAUGAAAAGAGAUAAUUCAAAGUAUUUAGUUUUGCUUCUGGUAUUCUUUUUUCUUUUUGAGAGAUGACAGCAAAGACAUUUGAAAGUCAUCCUACAUUCCAGGAAUUUCUCAUUCCUAUCCCCCCUUGAAGCGGUUGACCAGGGAAUGGUAGAUGAUCCAACCCAUAUUUCAGAAAAAAGAAAAGAAAAGAAAGACAAGUAGUAGUGAAAAGACCAGUUCUGCAGAGUUUUCUUUGCCUGGUCCAAGGCCAAGCGUUGUAAAAGACAGACAAAGAUUGCAACAUUUUCUGAAGGACACAAGACAGGCAAGAUGCCUAACUAAUUGCCUAUUUUCAGAGGGAAAAAGGUUUCACCCUUGUCCUAGAAAAAAUAGCCAACUAAUUUACUUAUCUCAGAAAGGAAAUACAACUAAUUGUUUCUCCAAUUUUCUUGCUAUACGACCCCCUCUAGGUCCAAACAUGCUUUGUCUUUCCCUUCAAGGAAGCUUGAUGUUCAUUUCACACAGAAAAGGCAAAAUACCAUGGUAGGAGGAUGAACUCAAUUAGCUACUUAUUUAUUUCAAGGGAUCAAAAUAAAUGAUCCAAGUUUGGAAACCUCAUCAUCAUCAAAAAAAAAAAAAGAGUAUGGAAACCUAAACUAAUCAAUGCCAAAACUAGAAAAUACAUAUGUGUCAGAAUUUUUCAUGAUCUUUUUUUUUUUAAAUUCUUUUUAGCGUUGUCAAAACGUUAGCUCUACUACUUUGUAAUUUACUUGAUAAGUGGAUAUUCAUAGUUUGCCUCUGAUUAUAUGCUUGUGUUAUUGUGGUGUUUGUAGGAACUAAUGCAUCUUCGAUCUUUUCAUUUGCGUUUUGGCAUUAUAUCAAAUGAUAAAAGUACUAGAACAUUUCUUUGUUGCCAAGAUAGAUUUGUUCAAUGAGACAAAUCUGAUAUAACUGUCAUUCCCAUCCUUUACAAUUUUCACAUUUUUGAUAAUUUCUUACUGCAAACUUUAAGUACUAUGGCAUGGUUAAAAAAAAAUAUAGAUUAAGAAAGUGGUUCCUUCUUAAACAUAGGCAGUCCUUUGAUCAACAUAGAGAAAAAUGUAUAAUCUCAUUUUAUUUUAGAAAAUGGAAUGUGAUUAGAUUUAGACUUUUUUUUUUCUUUAGCUUAUUGAAAAGGGAAAAGCAGAAAAUUUGAUGCAUAUGCUGCACCUUUUCCUUUCUUUAUCUUUUUUUUUUUUGGUUUUUCGUGCAAUAAAUUGGCUACAUUAAGACAAUGCAAGAAAAUCAUGCUCAAUUAGCCAAAAAUUGUAUACAGCAAUAAGCCAAAACUUUAGAAAGAUAAAUAUGCAUAACUUGUCAUGAUACAACAAGUGUACCCAACAAAAAGAAUGUCAGCUUCUUGUUAACAAAUUACUCUAUGAUUAUCAACGAACUGGAGCUAGAUUGGAAAUGCUAGCAACUCUAGAAUAUACAAACCUUCAAAAUCUUGUUCAUUGGCAUGCAUUAAUCUGUUAACGAUUGCUCUAAGAUAAAUCCCAUUUUAUCAAGAAGCUUACAGUAUAUUGAAAACGGUACUAGACUAUAUACAUCAUGACAAGAACUAAUGCACUUUCCUGCCCAUUUUUCCAUUCUGAAAAAGGCCUUCCAAUUGAACUUCACCUCAAUGUAUAUUCUUCUUGUUAACAUCAUUGCCUUGUGAAGCCAAAUCUUCCAUUCCCACUGUACCUCGAAAAAUCAUCCGAUUUGUGUCCAAGACUUCCUUUGUAUGACAGAAAAAGCUUUCCCACUUAACCAUUCAUUGGAACAUUAAUGAAGUCCUCAGAUAACCCCCUUGAUGAGCGCAUGUCUGUUUCACUGGUAUAUGAAGAGUGGAAAUCAUCAACAUCAUCUCUUUCCUUUAUCUCUUCAAUCCUGUCGACUGCCUCCUUAAUGUCCCAUCUGUUGUCAAUUUCAGGCUCACAAAGAAUCAGUGCUAUCUUCAAUAGCUUCAUCAUUUCACCUUCACAGUGCUUAGUUCCUUGCAUAUCUUUGUCAAAAACCUCAACGGUCCACUCAUCCUUGACAACAGAAUGCACCCAAGUCGGCAAAUCGGUGUCACUUCCCUUACCUUGUUGCAAGAAGUUUGAUGGAAAUUUUCCUGUGAGAAGUUCAAGUAUCAAUACACCCAAGCUCCAGACAUCAGUUUUCUUGGUGAUGCGGCCAUUUUGCUUGAAUUCAGGUGACUUGUAUGCUAUCAUUUGGUCCCGUGCUUGUUCCAAGUUGACUACUGGAAGUAGUCCGUAGUCGGUGAGCAAUGGCUCAUUGUUUUCGUUAAGAAUAACAUUGGAGGAUUUGAGGUGACCGUGGGGUGCGAUCAGGCUCGGGAGCGAAUUGUAGAGAUACAGAAGGCCUUUAGAUACACCUUUGACAAUCUUCAAUCUGGUACGCCAAUCAGGGCUUGACAGGCCACGAGAUUUGUUACCUGGAAAUACAAGUUUCUGCUGUUUAGACCUCAGCACACGAGUGGCUUGAUUUCCUUUUUUUAACUUUUGGUUCUUCAGAAAUUACUUGCAUUAAUAUCUAUUACUCCUCGCCGACUGAGGAAUUCAAAGUUAGGAAGGCAAAAUUGUUAUGCAUAUUUUUGGUCAUUGAUGGAACAGAAAAGGUAAAACCACUUCUCAGGAAAGUAUUUUAGAUCCAACCAAAGAAGUCUAAUAUAGGGAGAAAUAAGUGAUCAACUAUGGCUAAAAACUGCAGAGAAAAGCAAUCUUCAUACUCAGAACUAAUAAAAGUUGCAUCAUGCAUAGUAAAUUUGAAUUAUGUAUACUUACCAUGAAGUUGAACAGCCAGGCUGACAUUUUCAACAUAGGUAGAAACUAUAAGUUUCUCCUCUUUCCUAUAGUAGAAGGCCACAAGUGGAAGCACAUUCGGAUGACUCAAUCUGCCUAACCUUCUCAUGUGCUCAUGGAAUUCUUCUUUGCCAACAUUGUUCAUUUGCCUAUACCUCUUCACAACCAUCACUGGUCCUGUAUUAAGGGCAGCUUUAUAGGUAGAUCCAAACAUUCCACUCCCUAAUACCUCAGCAGAGGCUUUGAGUAGAUCAGACAUGUCGAAUUUUCCAACAUCAUCCCUUAAGAAUGAAAGCUUGAUAUUCUGAUCACUCUUCUUGCCUUCUGAACCGCGAUCUGGUGACAUCCCUUUUUCCAAUCUGUCCAAAUCUUCAGAGGGAGGUUUGUUGUGACCUUGUGGAGCUGCUGCAGCUGCUGGUGCAUCUCCCAGUUGAGGUGCUUUCUUGCGCCGGCUGAGGAUGAUUAUAACAGCAACAAUUGCUCCCAAAGCUACCACAACAGCUAUUGCAACAAGUACUAUAGUUACAACAGAUAGCUUUCGCUCUGGGGGACCAGGACAUGGUUCCAAUGGUGCACCACAAAGGUCUGAAUUAUCUGUUCAUCAGUAGAAUUUAAUCUCUUGUAAGUUAAUCUGACAAUACCACUUACUGAUGGAUAGAUUUCAUCUUAGGUAUCUCGCGCUAAUCUGUAGAGGCUUUUUUUUCUUAAUGUGAGACAGAAGAAAAAAGUAAAAGACCUAGAAAUCAAGAGGAAAAAAAAAUAGAUCAUCAUAGUUAUAUGGUGUGGAAAGAUUUUCAAGAUAAAUAACCAAUUAUAAGCUUAAUAUCAGUUGCCCUGCUGGUAUUAUUUCACUUGGAUAUUUAAAUAUACGUUUAUAGUUCCAUCAUGGGACAAAGCUAACCACUUGGUCGAAUUGUAGUAAUGCCAUAAACCUUAAGGAUUAAAUUCUUCAUUGUAGCUGUGACAAUGUUUGUAUCCUGUUUUGGGACUUUAUUAUGGUAUUGUCUACCACCAUCGUCAAGUUUUGAACAUCCUUCUGAAAUAGGAGGCGUGACUAUCAUAUUAUAACAUCAUGGUACCAUAUUAAAGACAUAAGAAAUCAUUGAAAAACAGUUGUGCUAUUAAAUAAACAUAAAACAAUUUUUGAGAAAGAGACUCACCAGAAAAUGAAGCUGCUUUGAGGUUGCUCAGGCUGGCAGGAAUUUGACCCCCUAGGUGGUUGUGGGAGAAAUUCACAUUAAUCAAUCUUUCUUGAGUAAAAUCGGGAAUUUGACCUGAAAACUGAUUGCCAUCAAGCGUCAACUCCAUAAGCUUUGGCAAUGUUCCCAAGGAGGAUGGUAUUGGCCCUGAAAGCUGAUUGUUACUCAAAUGAAUCUUCUUAAUUGACAGCAUGCCUACAAAAGCAUCGGCUGGAAUCUCCCCUGAAAAUUUGUUAUUCGACAAAUAAAACGAUUUCAAGGCACCAAGUUUCUUCAUAUCCGGGAGAGGUCCUUCGAAAUCAUUAUUCAUGAAGCUGAGAGUCCUCAAACUCUUCAGCUGGCUAAGGGCAUCCUCAUUGAUAUCACCCUUCAACCCCAUAUUUUCAAGCUUCAAUCCCCAAACAUUCCCUUUAUCGCAAAGUACACCACUCCAAUUCGGCUGAUCACCCUUGCAUGAGGGUACUUUCGCGUCCCAAUUGGACAAUGCACCAGUAUUUUUCAGGGAAUCCUUGAACUGUAUAAGCAAAUCAGGCUCUGACAAACAGAUGCACGUAUGAACAAGCUGUAGAACAAUGGCUAGUAUGAGAAGACACCAUGAGGACUUGCAAAUCUUAGCCAUGGCGCGAGCAAAAUUGUAUCGUGACGCGCACUUGUGGUGUGCGCGCCCUUAGGGAGGGCUCCUGAGCAAAAGAUUGUCUUCUUUGUGUGCAGAAGGAGCUGGAGAAUGGAAUGAAGGUUGACAUGCAAAAAUGUAUGGGCAUAGGACUGGAAGGCAGGGAGGGGGAGGGAGAGAUAGGUGCCAAGAAUAGUGAAAGGCAGUGAGGAGCCGUGAAAACGCAUGAAUGGACAAAAAUGGAAAGAGGGCGUUUGUUGUUAUUGUUCAUGUUGACUAUGUCCUCUCUUUGCAUGCAUGGUGACAUGGGAGAGCUUUGCAUGAGAAAUUUGCGGUUUGCCUUUGAGCUUUGUUCAUGAAUAAAUUUUAUUCUUCACUUUGUUCUCCCCGUCGCUUCCCCCUUUUCAAUGUUAGUUGGGAUCAGAUUCACAGAUUUGUACAUAAUUUUCUGCAGUUCAAAGACUAACAUGCCUUUAUUCUCCAACCAAACUACUAUUUCAAAUUGAAUUAUCUCAUAAAACUUAAAAAAGAAAAAAAAAUCAGAUGCAUAUAGUAAUACAAAUAUCAUGUAAUUAGUAAGUCUUAAAUGGUUUAAGAGUUUGAGUAGAGGGCUAUAAGAAUAAAAAAGUUAGCUAGGAGUGAGGUAACACAUAAUUUUUUUCAAGGUUCCUGAUCUUUGCUUUAUCGAAAGUCACACUUAGAUAUACUUACUGAGAAACUAAUCAGUGUGCUGAUAGAUUGGCGAAACUAGGUGCUUAGUAAGAUACGAAUUUUGUAUGCUAUGAAAGUGUUUGGAAAUUUGCUUCCCUCGUUUUGUACCUAUAAUUAAAGUUUUUUCAAUAUAUACUCCCUUUUAUUACAAAAAAAAAUACAUAAUUUUUUUAAAAAAAUUUAUUGAGAGCAUCAGAAUUUUUUUUUUUUUCUCUUAUAGAACACCAAAUUAGAGGGGUUACUUGAAAGAAGCAGCCAUAAAUUGAACCUUUUGGUCUCUUUCCUUGAUGGUUUGCUUCAAUGUACUUUCUAAAUUGCUUCGUAUGAAGAAUUGCAUGCUUCAUAUUUCCAUAUAAGAACAAGAAAGAUGGCUUCGGCCUACUUAUUUGAGAUGCCAGGCUUGGCAAAGACACUUUGAAUUGCUGCCUAGACAAAUAAUAUUAAGAUUUACAUAUGACCUGUUUGCAUUUGCUCAUGUCUCUCCAUUCUACUAUUUUUGUUGCUUUUGCCUGAUAUUAUAAUACAUUUCUGCAACAGAGUAAGCACACAAUAACAGAGGCUUUCAAUUAAAGUACGUAGCACUAAAGAAGUGAAAAACAAAUAAUUAAAAUUGAGGCAAAUAAUUACAAUCAUUAUUCAUUACAACAUAUUUGUACUCAUGCAAACCUCAAAUCAAUGUAUUUUCAUAUAUAGGGCAAGUUUUGGCUAACUUGGGUUACAGUUGCUUCUUUUUGUUGAUAGCUCCAUUUGUGAGAACAAAAAGUUUUGGCUGAAGUUGAAAUGAGGACCAUAAGAUUGACCAUCUUGAUUUGCCAAUU